AGCCAAUUCCUAUAUGUAGCAUACAUCAGCUGUUAAAUAUAAUGAUAUAUGUACUUGGAAUUAAACAAAAAUAUAUAUUACAUGUAAUUAAUGGGUCACAUCUCUUUAUUAUUGACUGAAUUAUUGAUUCUGCAAGAUUUUGCCACCCUAAAACUGAGGCAAUAUGAUUCCUACUUGUAAGCCCAGCCCUCCUUUUAGCUUCAAGAUAAAUCCUGAUUUUAAGCAGAGAUUUUAAAAAUGUAACAAUUUUGUCACCCACCAAGCAUUGCUUUGAAUAAUUGCAAUUCCAAUCUGCUAAGAUUGUAAUACAGUAUAGUAAUUACUGCUUUAUAUGCAAAUGUUUCCACUUUUAUUCACUUGAAAAGCCUGUUUCAUAUUUAAUCAGCCUGGCCAUUGUUAAAUAUCAUAAAUAAAGUUAGACUCAUUUACUCAUCACACUCUUAAUGGUAUCAAUAUUCCAGAAGAUAAUAGAGUCAUUAUUGUCACUGACACCAAUUAAUCCUUAUUAAAC
rnacentral:lncRNA from 1 species